rnacentral:rRNA from 1 species
UUCCUACGGGCGGCUGCAGUCGAGGAUCUUCGGCAAUGCGCGCAAGCGCGACCGAGCGACGCCGCGUGGGCGAUGAAGGCCUUCGGGUUGUAAAGCCCUGUCGAGGGGGAGAAAAGCUCGAAAGAGUGUGAUCUAUCCCUGGAGGAAGCUCGGGCUAAGUUCGUGCCAGCAGCCGCGGUAAGACGAACCGAGCGAACGUUGUUCGGAAUCACUGGGCUUAAAGGGUGCGUAGGCGGGCUGCCAAGUUUGGGGUGAAAUCCUCCGGCUCAACCGGGGAAGUGCCUUGAAUACUGGCGGUCUGGAGGGAGGUAGGGGCGUGCGGAACUAACGGUGGAGCGGUGAAAUGCGUUGAUAUCGUUAGGAACUCCGGUGGCGAAGGCGGCACGCUAGACCUUUUCUGACGCUGAGGCACGAAAGCCAGGGGAGCGAACGGGAUUAGAUACCCGUGUAGUC